AGUGAACGCUGGCGGUAGGCCUAACACAUGCAAGUCGAACGGCAGCACAGUAAGAGCUUGCUCUUACGGGUGGCGAGUGGCGGACGGGUGAGGAAUACAUCGGAAUCUACUUUUUCGUGGGGGAUAACGUAGGGAAACUUACGCUAAUACCGCAUACGACCUACGGGUGAAAGCAGGGGAUCUUCGGACCUUGCGCGAUUGAAUGAGCCGAUGUCGGAUUAGCUAGUUGGCGGGGUAAAGGCCCACCAAGGCGACGAUCCGUAGCUGGUCUGAGAGGAUGAUCAGCCACACUGGAGCUGAGACACGGUCCAGACUCCUACGGGAGGCAGCAGUGGGGAAUAUUGGACAAUGGGCGGAAGACUGAUCCAGCCAUACCGCGUGGGUGAAGAAGGCCUUCGGGUUGUAAAGCCCUUUUGUUGGGAAAGAAAAGCAGCAGGUUAAUACCCCGCUGUUCUGACGGUACCCAAAGAAUAAGCACCGGCUAACUUCGUG
rnacentral:rRNA from 1 species